AGAGUUUGAUCAUGGCUCAGGACGAACGCUGGCGGCGUGCUUAACACAUGCAAGUCGAACGGAAAGGCCCUUCGGGGUACUCGAGUGGCGAACGGGUGAGUAACACGUGGGUGAUCUGCCCUGCACUUUGGGAUAAGCCUGGGAAACUGGGUCUAAUACCGAAUAGGACCACGCGCUUCAUGGUGUGUGGUGGAAAGCUUUUGCGGUGUGGGAUGGGCCCGCGGCCUAUCAGCUUGUUGGUGGGGUAAUGGCCUACCAAGGCGACGACGGGUAGCCGGCCUGAGAGGGUGACCGGCCACACUGGGACUGAGAUACGGCCCAGACUCCUACGGGAGGCAGCAGUGGGGAAUAUUGCACAAUGGGCGCAAGCCUGAUGCAGCGACGCCGCGUGAGGGAUGACGGCCUUCGGGUUGUAAACCUCUUUCAAUAGGGACGAAGCGCAAGUGACGGUACCUAUAGAAGAAGCACCGGCCAACUACGUGCCAGCAGCCGCGGUAAUACGUAGGGUGCGAGCGUUGUCCGGAAUUACUGGGCGUAAAGAGCUCGUAGGUGGUUUGUCGCGUUGUUCGUGAAAACUCACAGCUUAACUGUGGGCGUGCGGGCGAUACGGGCAGACUAGAGUACUGCAGGGGAGACUGGAAUUCCCGGUGUAGCGGUGGAAUGCGCAGAUAUCAGGAGGAACACCGGUGGCGAAGGCGGGUCUCUGGGCAGUAACUGACGCUGAGGAGCGAAAGCGUGGGGAGCGAACAGGAUUAGAUACCCUGGUAGUCCAA
rnacentral:rRNA from 1 species